rnacentral:lncRNA from 1 species
GGCCUCUCCCUCCCUCUGGGAGUUCCCCAGUGGGGACCGAAUUCACACCCAGGGAUGGCUGUGGAUCCGUUACUGCUGCUCGUGGUGGUUUCCGAGGCUGCGUGGAUGGCUGCAGCUACAUCUGCAGGCAGGAAACGGCCCGCGGAGCACUGUCCUCGGGGGUGAACUGUGACAUCAUACCAACUUUUUUUCUUGACUCAUGGCAUAUAUGAAUAGGGAAGUGAAAAGCAACUGAAGCCACUUCAAACUGAAGGGGAAAACUCACUUCACCUGCUGGGGCCUCUGCCACUUGCUAGGGUAGGCAAGUUAUUUACCAACGAUGUGACAAUAAUAAUAGCUCCCGGUCAUGGAGAGCUAUGUUGUGAAUGCUGCUGAGUACUUUGCAUAACUUAAUGCUUAACUUGAAUUUCCUCAUCUAUAAAUGAAAGAUGAUGACGCACCUAUUUCAUUAUGUUAUUAUGAGGAUUAAAGAAUAGGUGGAAAAAGCACUUUCAAGUCGAGGCGGCACGAUCAAAAAGAUCCGAAACAGACAGACAUGGGUUAAAAUCUCAACUCCGAUUUCCACUAUUUGAUCUCAUGGAGCUUCAGUUUCCUCACCUCCAGAGUGGAGAUGAAGCCACCCACGCCAGCGAGGAACCGAGGGAGACAGUAAGCCAAACCCCAGCUGUCUGCAUCACUGGGAGGUGUUCAAUUAUUACUUGUACCUCACUCCUAUUAUACACAUGAACUGCUUCUCUUCUCCGUCGGCAGCCAUUCAGUGUCUGUAGUAUCCAAAGAUGCGUGUCCUUCCACAACAAUGAUACUGUCACACAGUCUGAUACGCCAGACACGGGUUGAACAGCUUCAUGUCUAUGAACUCAUUUAGUCCUCACCACAAUCCAGGGAGGACUGGGAUCCAAUUAUUGGAAACGUUGGCAACUUCUGCCUAGAGGAAGAGCAAAGUGGGAUGCGCGGGAAGCUUGGAGGCCUGGGAAGGGAAGGCUUAGCUCCAUCCCCAAAGAUCCACCGCAUCCAGGAAUACGACAGGAGUCACUCCCCUGAGGACUUAGGAUAAAGGUGACAAGACUCUGCACGCACCCCCAACCCCCCCAACACACACCCCCCCCGAGUCAAGAAGCUGGGCAUGUGCCGUCAGCAGCAGCCGAGAUGCCCUGAGAGCACCUGUCCUCUCCCUGCACAUCGCCACCGGCACGGCCGUCAGAGGCCGGAGCCCCCGCCCGGACCGCAGCCUCUCCCCGCGGCCGCGGCCGCUCUCCGCACCCGAACUCCCGCAGCUGGAGCCCUGCGACCGAGAGGGGCCGCCCCCUCUUCCCACGACAGGCAGAUGCUGAAAACCAGCCUCGCCUUCCCCGGCUCCCUGCAACUUCGGAAACUACGGUCAACUUACCGGGACGCGGAGACAGGGCGCCUUCGGGGGGCCGUGCUGCCCCAGCCGCCUCGCUCCGCCGUGCCCGGCGCGGGGACCUGGGCAGGGCGCAGCGCCCGGCGGCGGCGGCGACAG